AGUGGAAGGUGACCGAGCUUUUUAUAAAGUUAGGAAAGUCCAUGCUAGUACUAGCUGUGAUGCUAGUAGUGAUUGUGCCUGAGGAAACAAUAACUCAGGGUACUAAUUUAUUAGUAACGGCGGAUCUUUAAACUCACGUAGUUUAAAGCCUGAAAAGUGCCACAGAGACGAUACUAACCGCGAGGUUAGAGUGAAAAGGGUAAACCCCGCAAACUAGAAACCCAAAUUUUGGUAGGGGCACAUCAAAGCGCGAAUAAGAAGCGACGGAGAUGCUUCGUAAGAAGAGAUAAAUGGUCACACCCGAAAGGGCACAGAACAUGGCUUAUGCAC
rnacentral:RNase_P_RNA from 1 species